GCCCCUGGAUUGGACUGCGGCCGAUCAGGCUGUUGGUGAGGUAAUGGCCCACCAAACCUGUAACCGGUACGGGCUCUGAGAGGAGGAGCCCGGAGAUGGGCACUGAGACAAGGGCCCAGGCCCUAUGGGGCGCAGCAGGCGCGAAACCUCUGCAAUAGGCGAAAGCCUGACAGGGUUACUCUGAGUGAUCUCCGUUAAGGAGAUCUUUUGGCACCUCUAAAAAUGGUGCAGAAUAAGGGGUGGGCAAGUCUGGUGUCAGCCGCCGCGGUAAUACCAGCACCCCGAGUGGUCGGGACGUUUAUUGGGCCUAAAGCAUCCGUAGCCGGUUCUACAAGUCUUCCGUUAAAUCCAGCUGCUUAACAGAUGGGCUGCGGAAGAUACUAUGGAGCUAGGAGGCGGGAGAGGCAAGCGGUACUCGAUGGGUAGGGGUAAAAUCCGUUGAUCCAUUGAAGA
rnacentral:rRNA from 1 species